rnacentral:lncRNA from 1 species
AGCCGGUAUGAGGGAUCACGGCGGCCAGGGCCCUGCAUGCGGCGGCAUUCCUGAUGCCGGGGCUCGUCUGCCGCCUCUUUCCUCGUGAAACCCGGAGCUGGCAUCGGGAUCGCUAGUUUACUCUUAGCCAUCUGUGGUGACCUUGGGUCUCCUUCAGGGCACCUGGCGGAAAGCACGAAAGCUGGGGAGAUCCUGGAGUCACAGAUUUGCCACAGUAACAAAAAGGCCGAUGAAAAUUGUUACACUUUGGCUCUUAGAGCUUAGAAGAACAUUGUCUAUUCAGGAACUCCUGACUGUAUGUGUUGGUGGAGGAGGAGGUUUACAGUUUAAUCUACUCAUGAGGUCCAUCUUGUUUGGGAAGAAGAAUGGUUUGUUUACACUCUUGAUUUCCUGACACAAUCCCACUGGUACUGGAUGUCAAAGUAGCUUUUAGGUCCGGCAGCACUGCAGAAAU